UACGAAGGGAGCUAGCGUUGUUCGGAAUCACUGGGCGUAAAGCGCACGUAGGCGGAUGUGUCAGUCAGGGGUGAAAUCCCGGAGCUCAACUUCGGAACUGCCUUUGAUACAGCACAUCUGGAGUCCGGAAGAGGUGGGUGGAAUUCCUAGUGUAGAGGUGAAAUUCGUAGAUAUUAGGAAGAACACCGGUGGCGAAGGCGGCCCACUGGUCCGGUACUGACGCUGAGGUGCGAAAGCGUGGGGAGCAGACAGG
rnacentral:rRNA from 1 species